AGUAAUGCCUAGGAAUCUGCCUGGUAGUGGGGGACAACGUUUCGAAAGGAACGCUAAUACCGCAUACGUCCUACGGGAGAAAGCAGGGACCUUCGGGCCUUGCGCUAUCAGAUGAGCCUAGGUCGGAUUAGCUAGUUGGUGAGGUAAUGGCUCACCAAGGCGACGAUCCGUAACUGGUCUGAGAGGAUGAUCAGUCACACUGGAACUGAGACACGGUCCAGACUCCUACGGGAGGCAGCAGGA
rnacentral:rRNA from 1 species